rnacentral:rRNA from 1 species
UACAGAGGGGGCAAGCGUUGUUCGGAAUUACUGGGCGUAAAGGGCGCGUAGGCGGCCCGCUAAGUCGAACGUGAAAUCCCCGAGCUCAACUCGGGAACUGCGUCCGAUACUGUCGGGCUUGAGGCCGGGAGGGGUAGCGGAAUUCCCGAGUGUAGCGGUGAAAUGCGUAGAUAUUGGGAGGAACACCGGUGGCGAAGGCGGCUACCUGGACCGGUUCUGACGCUGAUGCGC